rnacentral:rRNA from 1 species
UGGCCGUCCGAGUUGUANUCUGGANAAGUGUUAUCCGCGUCGGACCGUGUACAAGUCUCCUGGAAUGGAGCGUCAUAGAGGGUGAGAAUCCCGUCCAUGACACGGACGACCGAUGCUAUGUGAGGCACUCUCAAAGAGUCGAGUUGUUUGGGAAUGCAGCUCAAAAUGGGUGGUAAAUUCCAUCUAAAGCUAAAUAUUGGCGAGAGACCGAUAGCGAACAAGUACCGUGAGGGAAAGAUGAAAAGCACUUUGGAAAGAGAGUUAAACAGUACGUGAAAUUGUUGAAAGGGAAACGCUUGAAGUCAGUCGCGUUCCGUGGAACUCAGCCUUGCUUCGGCCUGGUGUACUUUCUGCGGGACGGGUCAACAUCAGUUUUGGACGGUGGAAAAAGGCAGAGGGAAUGUAGCGCUGUUUCGACGGCGUGUUAUAGCCCUUUGUCAAAUACACUGACUGGGACUGAGGAACCUUGCAGCACGCCCNUUGUGGCCGGGGGUUCGCCCCACGUAACGUGCUUAGGAUGUUGGCAUAAUGGCUUUAAGCGACCCGUCUUGAAACACGGACCAAGGAGUCUAACAUGCCUGCGAGUGUUCGGGUGGAAAACCCUUGCGCGCAAUGAAAGUGAAAGUUGGGAACCUCCGCAAGGGGGUGCACCGACGCCCGGCCCUGAAGUUCUCUGACGGUGCUGCGGUAGAGCAAGUAUGUUGGGACCCGAAAGAUGGUGAACUAUGCCUGAAUAGGGNGAAGCCAGAG